rnacentral:rRNA from 1 species
CCAAUAGCGUAUAUUAAAGUUGUUGCAGUUAAAAAGCUCGUAGUUGAACUUCAGGCCUGUCCAGAUGGUCCGCCUUAAUUGGUGUGUACUGUCCUUGGGUGGGUCCUACCUUCUGGCGAAGCGGCAUGGCCUUAAUUGGUUGUGUCGGGGAAGCAGGACUUUUACUGUGAAAAAAUUAGAGUGUUCAAAGCAGGCAUAAUAUGCUCGAAUACAUUAGCAU